GGUGGCUCAGUGGUAGGGUGCUUGUUUUGCACGCAUGAGGCCCUGGGUUCGAUUCCUUAGCACCA
rnacentral:tRNA from 1 species